AUAAAUAUAGUAUAAUAUAAUAUAAAAUAUUGAUAAUUAGUUAAUAAAUAAGUUAAUAAUAUAUAAUAAUAUGUUAUUAAUAGUUAAUAAUGAUAAUAAUACUUAAUUCCGGGUAGUUAAUAACAUUAAAUAAUAAAUAUUAAGAUUACAUUAUCAUAUUACCAUUAAGUAAUAAUGAUAAUUAAUAUUAAGUAUAUAAAUAUAUAUAUAAUAUAUAUAAUAAUA
rnacentral:tRNA from 1 species